rnacentral:rRNA from 1 species
CACGUAGGGGGCAAGCGUUGUCCGGAAUUAUUGGGCGUAAAGAGCUCGUAGGCGGUUUGUCGCGUCUGCUGUGAAAACUCGGGGCUUAACUCCGGGCCUGCAGUGGGUACGGGCAGACUAGAGUGCGGUAGGGGAGACUGGAAUUCCUGGUGUAGCGGUGAAAUGCGCAGAUAUCGGGAGGACACCAAUUGCGAAGGCGAGCAUUGCUGGGACGGUACGUGAGCGCCUGAGGCGCGGAAAGCGAUGGGAGCAAGCUAGGGAUUAAGGCAGAUCCCCGAGGUAGUCCCCAGACCAAUG